rnacentral:rRNA from 1 species
UGGGGAAUCUUCCGCAAUGGACGAAAGUCUGACGGAGCAACGCCGCGUGUAUGAUGAAGGUCUUCGGAUUGUAAAGUACUGUCUUUGGGGAAGAACGGUCUUCUUGAAAAUAUUGAGGAGACAUGACGGUACCCAAGGAGGAAGCCCCGGCUAACUACGUGCCAGCAGCCGCGGUAAUACGUAGGGGGCAAGCGUUGUCCGGAAUUAUUGGGCGUAAAGGGCGCGUAGGCGGAUUUUUAAGUCCGGUGUGAAAGAUCAGGGCUCAACCCUGAGAGUGCAUCGGAAACUGGGGAUCUUGAGGACAGGAGAGGAAAGUGGAAUUCCACGUGUAGCGGUGAAAUGCGUAGAUAUGUGGAGGAACACCGGUGGCGAAGGCGACUUUCUGGACUGUAACUGACGCUGAGGCGCGAAAGCGUGGGGAGCAAACA